CGGAACAAAGAAUUAUCAAUCAAUGGAUACAUGGAAUCCUCAAAUUAUAGUCUAUCCCCUUUGGUGUCCCAAGCUGUGACCAUUGGGAUCGCCGGCUCCGGACUAUAAUAGGUGCAUACUACUCAUAGAUAGGAUCUAGAACACAAAUAUAGUCAUGAAAACAUAAGGUAUUCAGAUCUGAAAUCAUGGCACUCGGGCCCAAAGUGACAAGCAUUAAGAGUAACAAGUAGUAGCAAAGAUGAUAAACACCACAGUAGAUGAUAGGCAACAUGCCCCCAACAAUCUGACGAAAUAUUACAUGAUCUAACUCAUCCAAUCCCUACCAUCCCGUUGACCUACAGCAGGGAAUUACUCACACAUGAAAGGGGUAGCCAUGGAAGGAUGAUGGAGUGGUGAUGGUGAUGACGAUGGCGACGAUCUCCCCUCUCCGAAGGACAAGGGAGCUUCCAGAUUAGCUCUCCUGGAGAAGAACCGAGGGUGGCGGCGGAUUCCCGUCGAGAAUUGACGAAACAACUUCUCUUCUGGAAUUUCUCCAUCUCGGGUAAAAAUAGGAGCCAAGGUAGGGCACCAUAGGAGGUGGGCCCCACCCAGGCGGCCUCCCUGCGCGGUCAGGGGGCAGGUCACACCACCAGGUCGCCUGGAGGCCUGGUGGUCCCCCUCUGGCCUAUCUUCUGGUCAAGGGUUCCUCCUGGUGCGUGUAUUUUCUCUAUUUUUUAUUGGAAUUUUCUGGGACACCUAAAAAUCCAUUUUCCUGCACACAAAUAAAUCAUACAGGCAGCUCUGCUGAAAACAUCGUCAGUCCGGGUUUGUUUCGUUCAAAUCAUGCAAGAAUGAGGCCAAAACAAUAGCAGAAGUGUUUGGAAAAGUCGAUACAUUUGAGACGUAUCACGUGCAAGUCGAUACUUUAACUAUUACAACAUGAGCAUCUCAUACACCCAUUAUAUCAUAUCAUGUCUUUGGCCAUAUCACAUCACAGGCAUACCUUGUAAAAAUAAGUUAGAUGUCCUCUAAUUUGUUGUUGUAUGUUUUACAUGGCUGCUAUGGGUAUCUAGUAUGAUCGCAUCUUACUUAUGCAAAGCCACACCGGUGAUAUGAAAAUUUCUAUUUAACAUUCUCCAAGGACCGCCUGGGUCAAAUCCGAUUCAACUGAAGUUGAAGAAACAGACACCCGCCAGUCAUUUGUAUACAACAAGUUGCAUGUUAGUCGAUGAAACCGGUCUCUCGUAAGCGUACUAGUAAUGUUGGUCAGCAAAUUGAACAUCAACGCCCAAAAACUAUUGUGUGAUCUACUCGAUAUAUCAUCUACGUAUGAACCUAGCUCAUGAUGCCACUGUUGGGGAACGUCGCAUGGGAAACGAAAAAUUUCCUACCCACAUGCAAAA
rnacentral:lncRNA from 1 species